rnacentral:rRNA from 1 species
UACGUAGGGGGCUAGCGUUGUCCGGAAUCAUUGGGCGUAAAGAGCGUGUAGGCGGUCCGGUAAGUCCGCUGUGAAAGUCGGGGGCUCAACCCUCGAAUGCCGGUGGAUACUGUCGGGCUAGAGUACGGAAGAGGCGAGAGGAAUUCCUGGUGUAGCGGUGAAAUGCGCAGAUAUCAGGAGGAACACCUAUUGCGAAGGCAGCUCGCUGGGACGUAACUGACGCUGAGACGCGAAAGCGUGGGGAGCAAACAGG